GCCAAGUGAUGAUAGCGAGCGUUCAGAGGUCAGCUGGCGACAAACCAGAGUAAACUAUUGUCUGUAAUCUUGAUAGGCGUGACCGAGACUGCACGCUUGUUGUAAGGCCGGACAUAGAGUAACAGCCGGAAUUAUUGACCCUCGGUCAAAGUAUGACCCAGGGUACUUUUCCUGGCGCACAGGGAGGGGAGAGUGAUUUUCUCUCUCAUUCUCACUUUUUUUUUUUUUUUUUUUAAUGGUACCAGCGACCUAUGACUCUGUUCUUUAGUAAUCUGAUGGCA